CCUACGGGUGGCAGCAGUGGGGAAUAUUGGGCAAUGGGCGCAAGCCUGACCCAGCAACGCCGCGUGAAGGAAGAAGGCUUUCGGGUUGUAAACUUCUUUUGUCAGGGACGAAGCAAGUGAUGGUACCUGACGAAUAAGCCACGGCUAACUACGUGCCAGCAGCCGCGGCAAUACGUAGGUGGCAAGCGUUAUCCGGAUUUACUGGGUGUAAAGGGCGUGUAGGCGGGACUGCAAGUCAGAUGUGAAAACCACGUGCUCAACCUGUGGCCUGCAUUUGAAACUGUAGUUCUUGAGUACUGGAGAGGCAGGCGGAAUGCCUGGUGUAGCGGUGAAAUGCGUAGAGAUAAGGAGGAACACCGGUGGCGAAGGCGGAUUGCUGGACAGUAACUGACGCUGAGGCGCGAAAGCGUGGGGAGCAAACAGGAUUAGAUACCCCGGUAGUC
rnacentral:rRNA from 1 species